CUACGGGUCGCUGCAGUGGGGAAUAUUGCACAAUGGACGAAAGUCUGAUGCAGCAACGCCGCGUGGAGGAUGACACAUUUCGGUGCGUAAACUCCUUUUAUAGGUCAAGAUAAUGACGGUAGCCUAUGAAUAAGCGCCGGCUAACUCCGUGCCAGCAGCCGCGGUAAUACGGAGGGCGCAAGCGUUACUCGGAAUCACUGGGCGUAAAGAGCGUGUAGGCGGGUUAAUAAGUCAGAAGUGAAAUCCAAUGGCUCAACCAUUGAACUGCUUUUGAAACUGUUAACCUAGAGUAUGGGAGAGGUAGAUGGAAUUUCUGGUGUAGGGGUAAAAUCCGUAGAGAUCAGAAGGAAUACCGAUUGCGAAGGCGAUCUACUGGAACAUUACUGACGCUGAGACGCGAAAGCGUGGGGAGCAAACAGGAUUAGAUACCCCCGUAGUC
rnacentral:rRNA from 1 species